rnacentral:rRNA from 1 species
UCCUACGGGGCGCAGCAGUGAGGAAUAUUGGUCAAUGGGCGGAAGCCUGAACCAGCCAAGUCGCGUGAGGGAAGAAGGCCCUGCGGGUCGCAGACCUCUUUGGACGGGGAGCAAGGCCGCCGACGUGUCGGCGGAAGGAGAGUACCCGUAGAACAAGCAUCGGCUAACUCCGUGCCAGCAGCCGCGGUAAUACGGAAGGUCCGGGCGUUAUCCGGAUUUAUUGGGUUUAAAGGGAGCGUAGGCCGCAUGUCAAGCGUGCUGUGAAAUGUCCGGGCUCAACCCGGGCCUUGCAGCGCGAACUGGCG